UCUGCAACUUGGUGGUCAGUCUAACU
rnacentral:piRNA from 1 species